CUUAAGAUGAGAAGUAAGAGAAAGAAUUUUAGAUAAGAUACUCUCAGAAAGCUUACAGAUGGAGGAAGGGAAGGGAUGAACCUAGCAACUCUAGAAGAAGAUUCGCUUCUUCUCUUUGCUCUAACCUAGACACCUAGUUUUGUGUCUAUUAGAUCUCGAUGCCUUAAAACUCUUUCUCCUUGAUUUUUGGAUUCCCUAA
rnacentral:lncRNA from 1 species